rnacentral:misc_RNA from 1 species
UAUUUGUUCUUUAACAAUGUGGUAAAAAGUAUAAGUAAAGAUUCCUUGAUUAAUUUAGGGUUAUUUUUAUUUUCGAUUGAGAUGUAUUUUUAUGUUUUGAUUGAUAAAUGGGAAUAAUUUUUAGUUUAUUUAAUUAACGAGUCUUGGUAAUUUUGAAAACCGGUGUUGAGAUAUAGUUUUGAUUGGUUUUAGUUAUAGAUUUUACGAUUAUUGAAAUAGAGACUA